rnacentral:rRNA from 1 species
UGGUGGCACUAGAGAAGGAGCCAUACCUGAUCCCAUUCCGAACUCAGAAGUAAAACCCUUCAUCGCCGAUGGUACUGCACGCAAGAGUGUGGGAGAGUAGGUCGCUGCCAGGUC